GCCCCUUUAGCUCAGUGGUAGAGCGUCGCACUCGUAGGCUUGGUAUGCGAAGGUCCACGGUUCAAUCCCGUGAGGGGGCA